AGUGAACGCUGGCGGUAGGCCUAACACAUGCAAGUCGAACGGCAGCACAGUAAGAGCUUGCUCUUACGGGUGGCGAGUGGCGGACGGGUGAGGAAUACAUCGGAAUCUACUUUUUCGUGGGGGAUAACGUAGGGAAACUUACGCUAAUACCGCAUACGACCUACGGGUGAAAGCAGGGGAUCUUCGGACCUUGCGCGAUUGAAUGAGCCGAUGUCGGAUUAGCUAGUUGGCGGGGUAAAGGCCCACCAAGGCGACGAUCCGUAGCUGGUCUGAGAGGAUGAUCAGCAACACUGGAACUGAGACACGGUCCAGACUCCUACGGGAGGCAGCAGUGGGGAAUAUUGGACAAUGGGCGCAAGCCUGAUCCAGCCAUACCGCGUGGGUGAAGAAGGCCUUCGGGUUGUAAAGCCCUUUUGUUGGGAAAGAAAGGCAGCAGGUUAAUACCCCGCUGUUCUGACGGUACCCAAAGAAUAAGCACCGGCUAACUUCGUG
rnacentral:rRNA from 1 species